rnacentral:rRNA from 1 species
UGGUAAUGCCGGAUGCUCCAGUUGAUCGCAUGGUGUUCUGGGAAAGCCUUUGCGGCAUGGGAUGGGGUCGCGUCCUAUCAGCUUGAUGGCGGGGUAACGGCCCACCAUGGCUUCGACGGGUAGCCGGCCUGAGAGGGCGACCGGCCACAUUGGGACUGAGAUACGGCCCAGACUCCUACGGGAGGCAGCAGUGGGGAAUAUUGCACAAUGGGCGCAAGCCUGAUGCAGCGACGCCGCGUGAGGGAUGGAGGCCUUCGGGUUGUAAACCUCUUUUGUUAGGGAGCAAGGCAUUUUGUGUUGAGUGUACCUUUCGAAUAAGCACCGGCUAACUACGUGCCAGCAGCCGCGGUAAUACGUAGGGUGCAAGCGUUAUCCGGAAUUAUUGGGCGUAAAGGGCUCGUAGGCGGUUCGUCGCGUCCGGUGUGAAAGUCCAUCGCUUAACGGUGGAUCCGCGCCGGGUACGGGCGGGCUUGAGUGCGGUAGGGGAGACUGGAAUUCCCGGUGUAACGGUGGAAUGUGUAGAUAU